ensembl:lncRNA
CAGGCAGAGAGAUGGAGAGGAAGAAGAGAGUGAGAUGGAGGUAGAGAGAGUUUGGGAAAGGGAAAAUGAGGGAGAGAGAGAGAGCGACAGAAAGAGAGGGAGACAAAGAGAGAGAGGGCAUGAGAGAGAGAGACAGAAAGAGAGGGAGACAAAGAGAGAGAGGGCAUGAGAGAGAGAGAGACAGAGAGAGAGGGAGACAAAGAGAGAGACGGCGUGAGAGAGAGAGAGAGAUAGUGGGGUACGGAGAGAGAAGGAGAGACAGAGAGAGGGUGAAAGGGAGAGAUCGAAAUGAAAAACAGCUUCAUUAAAUUUCACGCGCUUUCACACGAGCAGUGCGAAAUGCGUGUUAAUACGCAGUGGCGUGAUUGGUCGACACCAGAGCCAAUCACGCAGACAGACGGAGCGGGAGGCGGCGCAACAGACGCCGCGGCCUGAUUGGGACCCGAGAUGAUGCCAACGACAACCGCCACUGCUCGGAAUUAUGGGAUGGCUUGUCAGGCUUACAUAAACCUGAUGGGUGUCGCCAUUACUCUUCGUCAAACAACACAACAACACAAAUGGAGCUGUGUUUACCUCUAAGGUCUGUCCAGAGGUCCUGUAGCGCUGUGCACAGCAGCAGCAGCAGGAGAGGCAGGCAGACAGUGAGGCUGUGUUUAUAAAUAGCCUCCACUCCGCCCGUCUGUCACACACACUCUCGUCUCGGACACCUACCAGCCCCCACUGGCCGACCCACGGGCGCCGCCAACCCACAGAUGUCCUCGCCCGCCCCAGCACUCACUAGCGCCCCCUAUGCCUCAGCUCACACCCCGUGUGUGCCUGCAUGUCUGUCACUAUGAAUCAUUAUAAAGCGCCAGCUUCAAACAAUUUGAAGAGAAAUAUCGAAAAAAUAUUAUUUGGUCUUUUUUUGUCACAUCCACCCAGUAAAGCCAGGAGAGAUCACAGCCUCACUUUGUAUAACAUGUAAUUGUGCUUGAGUAAUUAAUAAAUGCAGGCAUUCAGUUAAACAAACUUUGAAACUGUUGUUUGUAGGUUAAGAUGAAUUUUUAUCAGUUACAGUCAUGAGUC